rnacentral:rRNA from 1 species
GAUGAACGCUGGCGGCGUGCUUAACACAUGCAAGUCGAACGGGAAUUAUUUUAUUGAAACUUCGGUCGAUUUAAUUUAAUUCUAGUGGCGGACGGGUGAGUAACGCGUGGGUAACCUGCCUUAUACAGGGGGAUAACAGUCAGAAAUGGCUGCUAAUACCGCAUAAGCGCACAGAGCUGCAUGGCUCAGUGUGAAAAACUCCGGUGGUAUAAGAUGGACCCGCGUUGGAUUAGCUGGUUGGUGGGGUAACGGCCCACCAAGGCGACGAUCCAUAGCCGGCUGGGGAGGGGGAGCGGCCACAUUGGGAGUGAGACACGACCCAGACCCCUACGGGGGGAAGCAGUGGGGAAUAUUGCACAAUGGGGGAAACCUGAAUGCGGCGACCCCGCGUGAAGGAAGAAGUAUCUCGGUAUGUAAACUUCUAUCAGAGGGAAAGAAAGGGAGGGUACCUGACAAAGAGCCCCGGCAAAACUACGGC